GCCUGGGUGGCUCAGUUGGUUAAGCAUCUGACUUCGGCUCAGGUCAUGAUCUCGCAGAUUCGUGGGUUCGAGCCCCAUGUCAGGCU
rnacentral:tRNA from 1 species